UACGUAGGAGGCAAGCGUUGUCCGGAUUUACUGGGCGUAAAGCGCGCGCAGGCGGCAGUGUAAGUAAGGUGUGAAAUCUCCCUGCUCAACGGGGAGGGUGCAUUUUAGACUGCACAGCUAGAGGUCGGUAGAGGGGGGUGGAAUUGCUGGUGUAGCGGUGAAAUGCGUAGAGAUCAGCAGGAACACCCGUGGCGAAGGCGGCCCCUGGGCCGUACCUGACGCUGAGGCGCGAAGGCUAGGGGAGCGAACGGG
rnacentral:rRNA from 1 species